rnacentral:tRNA from 1 species
AUCUGAAUAGUUUAAGUGUAAAAUAUUGGUUUGUGGUGCCAAUGAUAUAGUUUUAUUUUAGAUU